rnacentral:rRNA from 1 species
AUUGAACGCUGGCGGCAUGCUUUACACAUGCAAGUCGAACGGCAGCGCGGGCUUCGGCCUGGCGGCGAGUGGCGAACGGGUGAGUAAUGCAUCGGAACGUGCCCAGUAGUGGGGGAUAGCCCGGCGAAAGCCGGAUUAAUACCGCAUACGACCUGAUGGUGAAAGCGGGGGACCGAAAGGCCUCGCGCUAUUUGAGCGGCCGAUGUCGGAUUAGCUAGUUGGUGGGGUAAAGGCUUACCAAGGCGACGAUCCGUAGCUGGUCUGAGAGGACGACCAGCCACACUGGAACUGAGACACGGCCCAGACUCCUACGGGAGGCAGCAGUGGGGAAUUUUGGACAAUGGGGGCAACCCUGAUCCAGCCAUGCCGCGUGCGGGAAGAAGGCCUUCGGGUUGUAAAACGCUUUUGUUCGGGAAGAAAUCCUCUGGGCUAAUACCCCGGGGGGAUGACGGUACCGGAAGAAUAAGCACCGGCUAACUACGUG